GCCAGGCGACUCAGAGCGUGGGCAGUAGGGAGUCCUGGGGGUUUGCGGAGAUGGGCCCUGAGCCAACUCCUUCUGACAAGGAUCACUCCACUACUGUGCGGAAAGGGGGCCACAGAACGAGGAAGCCUCCCAACUCCGCCACUGUGUGACAACUGUGGGCGGCAAGCCACCCAGGUGCCGAGGCAAGAGACCAAGGACACGAGCUGUUCCAGUGUAAUAAAAUAUAAAACAAGAAUAGUUAUAGCAGAUAUAGAUCUUAGAUAUGAUUAUCUAUGACAGGGCAGGGCCGUCCCAUGCAUACCCCAGCCC
rnacentral:lncRNA from 1 species